rnacentral:rRNA from 1 species
CCCUUAGAUGUUCUGGGCCGCACGCGCGCUACACUGACAGGGCCAGCGAGUACAUCACCUUGGCCGAGAGGUCUGGGUAAUCUUGUUAAACCCUGUCGUGCUGGGGAUAGAGCAUUGCAAUUAUUGAUCUUCAACGAGGAAUGCCUAGUAGGCACAAGUCAUCAGCUUGUGCCGAAUACGUCCCUGCCGUUUGUACACACCGCCCGUCGUUUCUUCCGACUGAUACUCAUUGUGAGUUGCAAGGACCCUUUAUUGGGAAAUUGCUGCAAAUGCUUUGUAUUGGAGGAAGAAAAAGUCGUAACA